GUGAAAUGGCUGAGUUUAAGCAAUAAAUUGUAAAUUUAUUUACGGAAAGUUUCCUUUUACCAU
rnacentral:tRNA from 1 species